AAGGCGAGGAGGGCAGCAGAGAGGGAGACUCCCAAUGACUGCAGAGCAGCUGCGGCAGCCUCCUUCAGAGGGAUACGCCACGCUGUGAGACAGAAGCGCGAUCACACUUCCCCAGAAAUUGGAGACUCAUGCAUCCCAGCCUUCAGCCUUGCUUUUGGCAUCCUCCUCUGAUGUAUGAUGAGUCAUCAGAGAACGCUGUUUAGGACUGCAGAUAUGAAAUCUAAGAUUAAACCUGUGAGAAUAUCGUAGAAUUUUACUAUAUUUCAAGGGCUUUAGCUUUUAAUAUGAAACACUAUACAGAGCGUGCAUACAGCAUAUUCAACAUAAAGGACUUGCUAAAUACCCACAAGAGAAACUGGUUCAAAAUCUCUCAAGACUGAGUUAAGACGCAGACUGAAAAACUACAAACAAGUAGGAAUCUCCAUCAUCCCUUGGAAACCUUGGAUUAAUGUACACUGAGGCCUCUCAUGGUAUUAAGUUCUGCAUGACCCUGUGAAAAUAGUUAUGCACACACUUUUCAGCUCCUGAUUUAGAAGGUUUGCAAGGUUUAGAUCAACAUAUUCAAACAAUAUACAAAUCAGCACUGCUGUUGCACGUUAGUAUGAGGAGCUCAAUGCCUGCACUCUGUAGACCGUUUAAGCAUUCUUUUUGUAAAAAUACCUCUAGGUACCAGGCGGC